ACGACUCUCGGCAACGGAUACCUCGGCUCUCGCAUCGAUGAAGAACGUAGCGAAAUGCGAUACCUGGUGUGAAUUGCAGAAUCCCGCGAACCAUCGAGUCUUUGAACGCAAGUUGCGCCCGAGGCCACUCGGCCGAGGGCACGCCUGCCUGGGCGUCACGC
rnacentral:rRNA from 2 species